AGCCAGCAAAAAGAGCCAGACCCCAACUCUCAAGCACCCUAGCCAGCACACUGGACCCCAGGAAAGGUACCAGCAAAGGUCCCCAGGCCUCCACUGAUGUCUGUGCCCACAUUGUUUGGUAAGCAGUCAUCAGUCAUUGCUCUUGAGAUGUGAAGAGCGCUGUGGGGUCUCUUCAUCCAUUCUAUGGAGUUUGGCAACAACCCUUAAACCUGCAGGGGGGAUGCAAGCAUGAAAAGUCCAACAAAACAUCGAAUAGAAGCAUGAUGCAUGUCCAUGGGUUGGAGGAAACAGUGGCUGCUCUGUUUCUUUGGUGAAUGAAAGCAUAUUUUAAGCUCAGACGUAAAGAAAAAUGAAACAAAAGAAAAAACACCACAUUAUAAAGAUGGCGAAGAAUAUAUAAUCUUAUUUAAUAAAGACAUAAGAUCAUUAUUUUCA